UACAGAGGGUGCGAGCGUUAAUCGGAAUUACUGGGCGUAAAGCGCGCGUAGGCGGCUUUUCAAGUCGAUUGUGAAAUCCCCGGGCUUAACCUGGGAACUGCAGUCGAGACUGUCUAGCUAGAGUAUGGGAGAGGGAAGUGGAAUUUCAGGUGUAGCGGUGAAAUGCGUAGAUAUCUGAAGGAACAUCAGUGGCGAAAGCGACUUCCUGGACCAAUACUGACGCUCAUGUGCGAAAGCGUGGGGAGCAAGCAGG
rnacentral:rRNA from 1 species